rnacentral:rRNA from 1 species
GACGAACGCUGGUGGCGUGCUUAACACAUGCAAGUCGAACGGGAUUUCGUAAACAGAAGCCUCGGUGGAAGAUUACUAAUGAGAGUGGCGAACGGGUGAGUAACGCGUGAGCAACCUGCCUAUGACAGUGGGAUAGCCUCGGGAAACCGGGAUUAAUACCGCAUAAAAUCGUAGAAACACAUGUUUUAACGGUCAAAGAUUUAUCGGUCAUAGAUGGGCUCGCGUCUGAUUAGCUAGUUGGUGAGAUAACAGCCCACCAAGGCGACGAUCAGUAGCCGGUCUGAGAGGAUGAACGGCCACAUUGGAACUGAGACACGGUCCAAACUCCUACGGGAGGCAGCAGUGGGGAAUAUUGCACAAUGGGGGAAACCCUGAUGCAGCGACGCCGCGUGAACGAAGAAGGUAUUCGUAUCGUAAAGUUCUGUCCUAUGGGAAGAUAAUGACAGUACCAUAGAAGAAAGCUCCGGCUAAAUACGUG